UACGUAGGGCGCAAGCGUGUCCGGAAUUAUUGGGCGUAAAGAGCUCGUAGGCGGUUUUGUCGCGUCUGCUGUGAAAACCCGAGGCUCAACCUCGGGCCUGCAGUGGGUACGGGCAGACUAGAGUGAUGUAGGGGAGACUGGAAUUCCUGGUGUAGAGGUGAAAUUCGUAGAUAUCAGGAGGAACACCAGUGGCGGAAAGGCGGCUUUUCUG
rnacentral:rRNA from 1 species